UACAGAGGUCCCGAGCGUUUGUUCGGAUUCAUUGGGCGUAAAGGGUGCGUAGGCGGUCUUCUAAGUUUGAUGUGAAAUCCCGGGGCUCAACCCUGGAAUUGCAUUGAAUACUGGAGGACUAGAGUACCGGAGAGGAAACUGGAAUUUACGGUGUAGCAGUGAAAUGCGUAGAGAUCGUAAGGAAGACCAGUGGCGAAGGCGAGUUUCUGGACGGUAACUGACGCUGGAGCACGAAGGCCAGGGGAGCAAACGGG
rnacentral:rRNA from 1 species